rnacentral:rRNA from 1 species
UAGAGUUUGAUCAUGGCUCAGGAUGAACGCUGGCGGUCUGCCUAACACAUGCAAGUCGAACGAAGUCUUCGGACUGAGUGGCGGACGGGUGAGUAACGCGUGAGAAUCUGGCCUCAGGAUGGGGACAACAGUGGGAAACCACUGCUAAUACCCGAUGCGCCGCAAGGUAAAAGAUUUAUCGCCUGAGGAUGAGCUCGCGUCCGAUUAGCUAGUUGGUAGGGUAAGAGCCUACCAAGGCGACGAUCGGUAGCUGGUCUGAGAGGAUGAGCAGCCACACUGGGACUGAGACACGGCCCAGACUCCUACGGGAGGCAGCAGUGGGGAAUUUUCCGCAAUGGGCGCAAGCCUGACGGAGCAAGACCGCGUGAGGGAGGAAGGCCCUUGGGUUGAAAACCUCUUUUCUCAGGGAAGAAGGCA